UACGUAGGGUGCGAGCGUUAAUCGGAAUUACUGGGCGUAAAGCGUGCGCAGGCGGUUUUGUAAGCCAGAUGUGAAAUCCCCGGGCUUAACCUGGGAAUGGCAUUUGGGACUGCAAGGCUGGAGUGUGGCAGAGGAGACUGGAAUUCCUGGUGUAGCAGUGAAAUGCGUAGAUAUCAGGAGGAAUACCGAUGGCGAAGGCAGGUCUCUGGGCUGACACUGACGCUGAGGAGCGAAAGCGUGGGGAGCAAACAGG
rnacentral:rRNA from 1 species